rnacentral:rRNA from 1 species
GGUGGCGAUAGGAGAGGGGUCACACCCGUUCCCAUGCCGAACACGGUAGUUAAGCCCUCUACCGCCGAUGGUA